rnacentral:rRNA from 1 species
AUGGCGGCCAGCCUCGAGCAGGAGCAGCAGCAGCGUCACAUCGUCCUCCGCCGGCCGCAGCUCACUCUGUGUAGGAUAUACCAUGAGGCCAGUAACUCACAACUUCACUGUGUUGAGGACAGCAGUGGGUUCUGUUCUAUGAUCCCUGAUCCCUCUGUUCUGGGACUUGCCACAAAUAAUACCAUCACUAGGUGUCAAGGAGCAGCUUAUGUUUACACUUCUCUUGGUGAACCAUAA